ACUCCUACGGGAGGCAGCAGUCGAGAAUAAUUCACAAUGGGGGCAACCCUGAUGGUGCAACGCCGCGUGGAGGAUGAAGGUCUUCGGAUUGUAAACUCCUGUCAUCCGGGAGUAAGACCUGGCGGUUAACAGCCGACAGGGUUGAUAGUACCGGAAGAGGAAGGGACGGCUAACUUCGUGCCAGCAGCCGCGGUAAUACGAAGGUCCCGAGCGUUGUUCGGAAUCACUGGGCGUAAAGGGAGCGUAGGCGGUGCGGUAAGUCAGAUGUGAAAUCCCGGGGCUCAACCCCGGAACUGCAUCCGAUACUGCCGUGCUAGAGCAAUGGAGGGGUAGCCGGAAUUCUCGGUGUAGCAGUGAAAUG
rnacentral:rRNA from 1 species